GGAAGUAAAAGUCGUAACAAGGUCUCCGUUGGUGAACCAGCGGAGGGAUCAUUAAAGAGAGCCUGAAGCUCCCUAAACCCACUGUGAACUUACCUGUAUUCGUUGCUUCGGCAGGCGGCCCCAGGGCGGGGCCACGGCCUUUUAGCUAAGGUGCCUGCCGAAGGGCAAACCAAAACUCUUCUUUUUAGUGGACGUCUGAGUAACAAAAUCAAAUGAGUCAAAACUUUCAGCAACGGAUCUCUUGGUUCUGGCAUCGAUGAAGAACGCAGCGAAAUGCGAUAAGUAAUGUGAAUUGCAGAAUUCAGUGAAUCAUCGAAUCUUUGAACGCACAUUGCGCCCGCCAGCAUUCUGGCGGGCAUGCCUGUCCGAGCGUCGUUUCGACCCUCAAGCACUGGUUGCUUGGUGUUGGGGCACUCUGCGUGGCCUAGAAGCCCUUCCCGCAGGCCCUCAAAUCCAGUGGCGGGCUCGCCGCGACCCCGAACGUAGUAGUUCUCUUCUCGUUCAGGGCGUCUCGGCGGGUUGCUAGCCGUUAAAACCCCCGUGUUUACACAAGGUCGACCUCGGAUCAGGUAGGAAUACCCGCUGAACUUAAGCAUAUCAAUAAGCGGAGGA
rnacentral:rRNA from 1 species